rnacentral:rRNA from 1 species
CGUGCGGUUCUAUUUUGUUGGUUUCUAGGACCGCCGUAAUGAUUAAUAGGGAUAGUCGGGGGCGUCAGUAUUCAGCUGUCAGAGGUGAAAUUCUUGGAUUUGCUGAAGACUAACUACUGCGAAAGCAUUCGCCAAGGAUGUUUUCAUUAAUCAGGGAACGAAAGUUAGGGGAUCGAAGACGAUCAGAUACCGUCGUAGUCUUAACCAUAAACUAUGCCGACUAGGGAUCGGACGAUGUUAAAAAUUGACUCGUUCGGCACCUUACGAGAAAUCAAAGUGCUUGGGCUCCAGGGGGAGUAUGGUCGCAAGGCUGAAACUUAAAGAAAUUGACGGAAGGGCACCACCAGGGGUGGAGCCUGCGGCUUAAUUUGACUCAACACGG